AUAGUGUUUGUUGCCCUCUUCCCUCAUACGGUGAAACUAUAAUCUUAUCUGGAGUUGAGGCCUGAGUGAAGGGAUUAAUUAGGUGGAGCCCGUAGGAAUGGGAUGUGUGCCCUUAUAGGAAGUGGGCAAACAGCUGUACUCUGCAACCUAGAAGAGGGGCUUGCAGAACUCAUGUAAGACUCCGGGGAGCCUAAGCUUACCAGGGUCGCCCUGAGUGAACCACAUGGAGCCAGGAUCGAUGCAAAAAGCAAGAGAAAUUUAUUGUUCCAGUGCACUGGGGUCAUCUCAGACCCGAAGGAGAGGCAGUGACCCCCAGCACCCAUUUGGAGGGAGCUUUCCAUCAGAGAAUGAAACCAAUACAAAGGAAGACAGAGCUGAACUUUGAGAACAAGAAUGCAUGGACGGCACAAUUUUAGGUCUAGAAAGAGCGACAAGUGAUAACAUCAGAGGCCUGGAUUUCCCAUUCAGACAAACCAGUACAUUCCCUUCCCUCUUCAGCUACUUGAAAGUAGAUAUAUUUCAUUUGCAAUUGAGUCCUAAAUAAUGAUAACUUUAUCUUAUAGGAGUA
rnacentral:lncRNA from 1 species